GCCGGGCAUGGUGGUGCGUGCCUGUAAUUCCAGCUACUUGGGAGGCUGAGGCAGGAGAAUCACUUGAACCCGGGAGGCGGAGGUUGCAGUGAGCCAAGAUCAUGCCACUGCACUCCAGCCUGGGCAACAGAGUGAGACCCUGUCUCAA
ensembl:misc_RNA Metazoa_SRP Metazoan signal recognition particle RNA